rnacentral:rRNA from 1 species
AUUGAACGCUGGCGGCAUGCCUUACACAUGCAAGUCGAACGGCAGCGGGCCUUCGGGUGCCGGCGAGUGGCGAACGGGUGAGUAAUGCAUCGGAACGUGCCAUUGAGUGGGGGAUAACGUAGCGAAAGUUACGCUAAUACCGCAUAUUCUGUGAGCAGGAAAGCAGGGGGACCGCAAGGCCUUGCGCUCUUUGAGCGGCCGAUGUCAGAUUAGCUAGUUGGUGAGGUAAAGGCUUACCAAGGCGACGAUCUGUAGCGGGUCUGAGAGGAUGAUCCGCCACACUGGAACUGAGACACGGUCCAGACUCCUACGGGAGGCAGCAGUGGGGAAUUUUGGACAAUGGGCGCAAGCCUGAUCCAGCCAUGCCGCGUGAGUGAAGAAGGCCUUCGGGUUGG